rnacentral:rRNA from 1 species
AUGCAAGUCGAGGGGUAGGGUAGCAAUACCUGAGACCGGCGCACGGGUGCGUAACGCGUAUGCAAUCUACCUUUUACAGAGGGAUAGCCCAGAGAAAUUUGGAUUAAUACCUCAUAGUAUAUAUCAUUCGCAUGUUUGAUAUAUUAAAGUUCCAACGGUAAAAGAUGAGCAUGCGUCCUAUUAGCUAGUUGGUGUGGUAACGGCACACCAAGGCAACGAUAGGUAGGGGUCCUGAGAGGGAGAUCCCCCACACUGGUACUGAGACACGGACCAGACUCCUACGGGAGGCAGCAGUGAGGAAUAUUGGACAAUGGGCGCAAGCCUGAUCCAGCCAUGCCGCGUGCAGGAAGACGCAUCUAUGGUGUGUAAACUGCUUUUGUACGGGAAGAAACACUCCUACGUGUAGGAGCUUGACGGUACCGUAAGAAUAAGGAUCGGCUAACUCCGUGCCAGCAGCCGCGGUAAUACGGAGGAUCCAAGCGUUAUCCGGAAUCAUUGGGUUUAAAGGGUCCGUAGGCGGUUUAAUAAGUCAGUGGUGAAAUCUGGUCGCUCAACGAUCAAACGGCCAUUGAUACUGUUAGACUUGAAUUACAAGGAAGUAACUAGAAUAUGUAGUGUAGCGGUGAAAUGCUUAGAUAUUACAUGGAAUACCAAUUGCGAAGGCAGGUUACUACUUGUGGAUUGACGCUGAUGGACGAAAGCGUGGGGAGCGAACAGGAUUAGAUACCCUGGUAGUCCACGCCGUAAACGAUGGAUACUAGCUGUUGGGCGCAAGUUCAGUGGCUAAGCGAAAGUGAUAAGUAUCCCACCUGGGGGAGUACGUUCGCAAGAAAUGAAACUCAAAGGAAUUGACGGGGGCCCGCACAAGCGGUGGGAGCAUGUGGUUUAAUUCGAUGAUACGCGAGGAACCUUACCAAGGCUUAAAUGUAGAUUGACCGUUUUGGACACAGAUCUUUCGCAAGACAAUUUACAAGGUGCUGCAUGGGCUGUCC